CCCGUGAUAGCUCAGUUGGUAGAGCGGAGGACUGUAGAUCCUUAGGUCGGUGGUUCAAAUCCGCCUCGCGGGA
rnacentral:tRNA from 3 species